AUGAUGGCUAACUAAGUCAAGUCUCACUCCUGUGAUAAUUGAGUUGUAUUGUCCUCGCCAAUGCUGUUAAUUAUUCCUCGCAUUUGCCAUGUUGCUGCUUUUUGUUUGUAUCCUAAUAAAAGGCUAAGGAGGAUGGUAAUGCAAGCUUCAGUCCAAGAGGCUGCAGCCCCCGAUCCCAUAACUUUCUCUUGUUUUUUUCAUUCCCCUGGCACUUCGUUCUCGGGACCGUCACCCCAGACAGCAACUGACUACACUGACACACCCCGAGGCACCAAGACCACCCUGUCGCCUGCCACACCCACAGCCAAGCCAGUCCAGGUGUUUUGUUAAAAUCUGCUGUGCGCUCACUUACUGAUGCAUGUAAACGUCAAGUUUAUCGGGCUUUGCUCGGAGGCGGCAGGCCGACCUCUCCCGGGCCCAGCGCAGCGCCGCGGGGCGGCAGCGUGUGACAGCAGGCACAGGCGCGGCCAGCGGGAAGGCGGUGCGCCGGGCUUCCUCGGGGAUUUUACUGGGGCUCCUUCACCUACGAAUGAUCGUGGCUCUGCGUGGCUGAACUCAGGUCCUCAGCUGAUCCUGCAGGACGCAAACCCCGCCCUGAAUCUCACGCUCGGCCUUCGGCCAGCCAGCCCCACGCUGAGGCCCAGGGGUACCACCUCCGCCUUCCACAAAGACUCCCGUCUAGGACAUGAUGGAUGAUCCCCCAGACGCCGACGGCGGAGGCAGGCUUUCUCUUUUGGCAGGGAACCCUUUAAGGCUCGAUCCCACACACAUGGCCGCACACGUGCAGCACGACACACAGGUGUCCGCCCCAGCAAAGUUCCGCAACAACUUAGCUCCGUGUAGAGUACUUGUUGAACAAAUUGGAAAUGUACUUGUGUACUGUGAUAUUUUGCGGCCAGAAAGAAGAAUGAACAACCUUUUGCUGAGGAGAAGAACAAGUGUUUACUACCACUGUGUAAAAAAUACAGUCUUGCAAAUCUGCUUGCAAGUGCCCCGGCAGCUCUAGAAUAACAGAGGGGCCGGUCACGUUUGCCCCCUGGGGAGCAGCUGGCGGUGGGGGUGGACAGUGGGCUGGAGGAGGCUUUUCAUCUCUGCCUUCUACAGGCUGAACUUGGAAGAGUGAAACAUAUUGCCUACUAAUAAGUAAAUUAACUUAGAAUUCAGGAUGAUGAUAAAGCUCUGCUCUCCCGGACCGCGCCAUGGCUCAUCCUUCCUCCUCUUCCUGCCAGCUGCCGGUUCUGGAAUCUCCACACCCAUCACAAAGACCACAGAGUCUCCUUGCUGAGUGUUAGGAGUUGCUUUUUAAAAAUUAACACAGGGAUGGGUGUUGAGUUUUAUCAAAUGAUUUUCAGCAUCUGCUGAGACAGUGAUGCGCCUUUCUCUCUUUAAUCUCUUAAUGCGCUGAAUUACAGUAUUGGGUGUCUUGAGGUUGCACCAUCCGUCCAUCUGUGGAACAAAUCUGUGAUAUAUCAUUCUCCUAAUCUGCAGCAGGACGCAGCCUGCUAGGGUUUUAGGAGGAUGUUUUUCCAUCUGUACCCUGAGGAGAAAAGGCCAUCAUCUUCCUCUCAUCGACGCUUUUGGUAUCAGGUAGACGCCAAGAUCCGAGGAGUUCGGGUGACGUCGCUGUUGUCCAGGCUGAUGGACACUUUCGGUAACACAAAGCGUCUCCGGUCCUCUACGGCAUUGAUCCUGCGGUGCUUUGCCGGGGCAGAUCAUUGACUGUGCUUUCUCUCUGGUUGGUUUAUUUUUUUCUCAUAUAUUGUGGUAGAAAAUUAUCUAUUUCUUUAAGAUUUUCAAAUUUACUUUAAUUUUUGUUAUAGUUUUUAGGUGCGGAGGGUUGACCCAGGUCCUCACGCUGCUAGGGUUGUGUUCCACCCCAAAAGAUACCCCUGAGGACCCAUUUUAUUAUUCAGUACGCAAAUCUUCCACGUCUUUACUUGUAUCUCCUGUCAAUUUCUGGAAUUUUUUCUCAGAAGGAGUGUGUGGUUUUUCUGCUGGUCCUUGUGUGUCCGUCCUUUUUGCUGAGUAUAUUCAGCGCCCUCUGCUGGGUGUGUGGAUGCUCACGCUAUGUGUUCCACCUUCUCUCAGCGUUUCUCUCUCAUCUCCUGAGAGGGCUGAGGAAACGGCCGCGGGACGGAGACGAGGACGCAGGGUCAGUGCUGGAGCUCUGAGUGAAGCUGCAGCUGUGAGCUCCACAGAGCUGGCCCGUUCACGGCCGCACGUUCCGUGAGCUGCGGUUCCCCCGGUCGGGAGGGGAUCCAAGCAGGGCCUGGCUGUGCCACAAGGAGCUAGCCAUGGAGUCCUGGGAGGAAAGACGUGGACGGGCCAGCGUUGACCCCGAGGGCAGCCGUGGCCCAGCACGAGGAGUGGCCGGCACUCAGGCACAGUGUGGCGGCGCCUCCCCGGCUGCCUCGCACCCUCGCCCCGGCCCGGCGCUUGGUGUCACCUGUCCACAUCGAGCACAGUGGGGACGGCCAGUGUCCCCAUCCGUCUUUGGUGUCUUCGUGCUGAGAGGUGGCAGCCACCUUCCCUGAGCUUCUCAGGUGAGUGCCCAACUUACGGAGCUGUGUGGGAGAUGGGCAGGCUCCGUGGCCGAAUGUCCCCUGCAAAGUCAGAGGUGCCUCCUAGGGCCCCACGGCCCGCCUCCACCCCACCCAGCAGCCCUCUUCAAGCCCAAGUUAUGGUGUCUGUUUCAAGGAGCCCCAGCAGUUACCUGCUAGACUGACGGGUCUUGGUUUGCAAGUGAGCGAGGCCCGACUGCAGGCCCACUCCCGACUGUGCCCGACACGAGCCAGGUGGCGCUCUGGGCGGCGCCUCCAAACCAAGUCAAAGAGCUUGGGAGGGUUCGGCAGAAAGGCGGCAGAGAACAACUCCGAGGGAGACGCUCCCAAAGGCAUCCUGGUGCCAAGCAACAGACGAGGGACAGCCCGCGUCCACGCAUGUGGGUGAGUGUGUUCCGUCCACACCGUGCACCUUCGUCAGCCGCAAGUCAGGAGGGCUGAGUCGGGCACAGGCGGUCACACAUCACGUGGCUCCCUUUCUGUGACAUCCCCGGCCAGGCCACCACGGGGCACAAGACAGUGGCAGGGCUGGAGGGAGGGUGUGGGGCGCGUGGUUGAGGGAUCUGGGCUCCCUUCGGGCAGAUGAAAAGGUUUUGGAACUAGUCAGAGCGGUGGUUGCGCCAUAUUGUAAAUACAUUAAAGGCCACCAAACUCCUCUCUUCAGAUGUGAAUUUCACAACCACAAAUGCUGGGAGAGGGCAGAGGGUAUCCCACCCCUUUCCCAGGGCAGGCCUGUCCCCUGGGGGCACUCCGCCCCUGCGCUGCUGUCCCAGCUCUACCGGGCAGGGAGGUGGAGGCUCCAAGUGUGGGGUGUGGUGUGAUCCACCUGGAGGACCCCCCACCGUCCCCGGGCCUAAGCAGAGCCGCUGGGCUCUGGGACCUCCGCCCCUCCAACAACGUCGGAGCUUCAUCCUUCUGUGUCCUGGACGACUCCCCACUCAGCACCGCGCUAGCUGCUCCACAGCAGAAUCAGCUGCCACCCGAGGAGGCCACGCCGGGCCGGUGAGGGCCAGCGGGGGGAAGCCUGGUGCGAUGCUGCGGAGGCUGGCGGCUGAGACUCUGACUCUCACCAGCUCUCCUGUGCUGGAAGACCGCUCAGCAGUACGCUCCCAAAGCCUUCUGCGGUCAGCUCUUUCGCUUGGAACCGCACCUCUGCAAGCUCAUCCUUGGGACGCAGAGACAGUUGUCCUUUCACUGCUGCGACAGAAAACGUGCACGAGCCAGCGUGGACCAGGGAGGGCUUCUUAGGGCUUCUGGUUCAGAGCUUUCUGUCCGUGGCUGUGGGUGCCAUUGCUUCGGGCUGUGGUGAGACACAAGGGCGGGUGACAGGACAGUGCCCAGGGGCAGCCAGUAGGACAGACAGUGCACAAGCCCAGGGGGAAGGCCCCGCCCAAGCUCCAACCCCGCGCCCCUCUCCCCCCAGCGGGCCAUCAAAUUAUGACCUCAUCUCACAAGGGCCUUGCCUGUGCCCGGACUCCCCACACAUGAAGGCUUCACUCCCAGGGUGGGAAGGAGGAACCAGAACCAGGCUGCCUUCGUCACAAAGCCGGGCUCACUGAUGGCGACAGUGUGAUGCUCCCUGUGAUGUGUGGGCUUGACCAGGGCAGGGAGUGCCCCGCAGACGGGCAGAUUCGGAGCACGUUCGUGGACGGCGGACGUGCAGGCCCAGCCCAGGGGAGAACUCGCUCACCGGACGUGAGGGCACCGGCCGAGGAGCUGGAGCCCAGGUGGAGCGCAAGGGAGCGGAGGAGGAAGUCUGCUCUGCCUCUCUGGGGGAGCGCAGCCUCGCCCCUGCCUUUGGACAGCUGUGUCAGCCCUCCAGGCCUCCAGCACGGUCUCUUCUGUUCUCCAACACGACUUACACUGAGCUCCAGGCCCUUGGCCUUCGCUGACCCCCGCUCUCCAGUGUGGACGUGGCCAUCGUGCCUUCUUCCACCCGGCUCCACAGCGGCCCCUGGGACGUCCCACCUCUGACCCUGCAAUCACACAUAUAUGUCCUAUCAGUCUGUUCCUCUAGUGAACCCUAAUCCAGGCAGCUACAGAAGUCUGGCUGGAUCCCACAGAGCAGGGAGACCCCACCUUGAGAUGGACACGUCACUGUCACACUGUGUGGGGGGUGUUACGAGGCGUGCACGGCUGGGGGGUGGGUGCAGACCUCCUGGGAAAUGCAGCCUAACUAAAAUUCAACAUAUCUUGAAAGAAUCUCUCAGGGCCUCAGCAAGUGCCCGCGGGAGGCUGUGAACGGAAACCGUGGGAUUUCAGAGCAGCGUGGACAGUCCGAUCCUAGUUGGCAGGAAGAAAUGCUAGCAGUGGCUCUUCCUGGGUUGUGAGGUAACAGGACAUAUUUCUUUUCUUC